UUAUGCUAAUAAGAGCGUAUGGUGGAUGCCUUGGCACUAAGAGCCGAUGAAAGACGUGAUAAGCUGCGAAAAGCUUCGGGGAGGAGCAAAUAUCCUAUGAUCCGGAGAUCUCUGAAUGGGGAAACCCACCUGAGCAAACCUCAGGUAUCCUAACGCCAAUACAUAACGUUAGGAGGGGAACCCGGUGAACUGAAACAUCUAAGUAGCCGGAGGAAGAGAAAACAACAUGUGAUUCUGGAAGUAGCGGCGAGCGAAACCGGAAGAGCCCAAACCGGAGUGCGUGCACUCCGGGGUUCGGACCGCGGAAUUGAUCCAAAAGACUUAACAGAACGGCCUGGGAAGGCCGGCCAGAGAGGGUGAAAGCCCCGUAAGUGAAAGGUCGAUUGGCAUGGCGGUAUCCAGAGUAGGUCGAGACACGUGGAACCUUGACUGAAUAUGCGGGGACCACCCCGUAAGGCUAAAUACUCCUUAGUGACCGAUAGCGCAUAGUACUGUGAAGGAAAGGUGAAAAGGACCCCGGGAGGGGAGUGAAAAAGAACCUGAAACCAUAUGUUUACAAGCUGUGGAACCACUUUAAAUGUGGAACCGCGUACUUUUUGUAGAACGGUCCGGCGAGUUACGCUGGCUGGCGAGGUUAAGUCCUUAAGGGAUGGAGCCGAAGGGAAACCAAGUCUGAAUAGGGCGAAGAGUCAGUCGGAGUAGACCCGAAACCGGGUGACCUAUCCAUGUCCAGGAUGAAGUUGCCGUAAAAGGCAAUGGAGGUCCGAACCCACAUCCGUUGAAAAGGGUGGGGAUGAGGUGUGGAUAGGGGAGAAAUUCCAAUCGAACCCGGAGAUAGCUGGUUCUCCUCGAAAUAGCUUUAGGGCUAGCCUCAUACAAGUCUUGCGGAGGUAGAGCACUGAAUUUCCUAGGGGGCGUCAAAGCUUACCGAAGAAUAUCAAACUCCGAAUGCCGCGUAGAUGGUGUAUGGGAGUCAGACUGCACGAGAUAAGUUGGGUAGUCAAAAGGGAAAGAGCCCAGACCUGCAGCUAAGGUCCCAAAAUGUGUGUUAAGUGGAAAAGGAUGUGGGAUUUCGAAGACAACUAGGAUGUUGGCUCAGAAGCAGCCAUACAUUCAAAGAGUGCGUAAUAGCUCACUAGUCGAGAGGUCCUGCGCCGAAAAUGUCCGGGGCUGAAACACACUACCGAAGCUCAGGAAUGUACUUGUACAUUGGUAGAGGAGCAUUGUAUACGGGAAGAAGCAGUACCGAUAAGGAGCUGUGGACUGUAUAGAAGAGAGAAUGCCGGAAUGAGUAGCGAGAGGAAGGUGAGAAUCCUUCCGGCCGAAUAUCUAAGGUUUCCAGAGUAAAGCUGAUCUGCUCUGGGUAAGUCGGGGCCUAAGGCCAGGUCGAAAGACGUAACCGAUGGACAACAGGUUGAAAUUCCUGUACCGCGAUAUAACAGAACUGUGGGGACACGUGUGGAGAGCACAAGCCGGGAAUGGAAAGCCCGGCGCAAGCAAGGUAGGAGUCGUACUGGCAAAUCCGUACGGCAAUCCGAAGAUGUGAUGCGUACCGAAUUAAGAGUAGGGAAGAGUGUGAGCCAUGCGUCAAGAAAAGCCGCUAUUGUUUGUAUCGCGCCCGUACCGUAAACCGACACAGGUGGAUGAGGAGAGAAUCCUAAGGCCGACGGGAGAAGCAUUGUUAAGGAACUCGGCAAAAUGACUCCGUAACUUCGGGAGAAGGAGUGCCACUGAGAGGUGGCCGCAGAGAAUUGGCCCAAGCAACUGUUUAGCAAAAACACAGGUCUAUGCAAAACCGAAAGGUGAAGUAUAUGGGCUGACGCCUGCCCGGUGCUGGAAGGUUAAGGGGAGAGGUUAGCGCAAGCGAAGCUUUGAACUUAAGCCCCAGUAAACGGCGGCCGUAACUAUAACGGUCCUAAGGUAGCGAAAUUCCUUGUCGGGUAAGUUCCGACCCGCACGAAAGGCGUAAUGAUUUGGGCACUGUCUCAACAAUGCACCCGGUGAAAUUGAAAUACCAGUGAAGAUGCUGGUUACCUGCGCCAGGACGGAAAGACCCCAUGGAGCUUUACUCCAGCUUGAUA
rnacentral:rRNA from 1 species